rnacentral:rRNA from 1 species
AGUGAACGCUGGCGGCAGGCCUAACACAUGCAAGUCGAGCGGCAGCGCAGCAGUAGCAAUACUGUGGGCGGCGAGCGGCGGACGGGUGAGGAAUACAUCGGAAUUUACCCAAUCGUGGGGGAUAACGUAGGGAAACUUACGCUAAUACCGCAUGAACUGGAGACAGCAAAGCGGCGGACCUUCGGGCGUCGCGCGGUGGAUGAGCCGAUGUCGGAUUAGCUAGUUGGCGGGGUAAAGGACCCCACCAAGGCGACGAUCCGUAGCUGGUCUGAGAGGAUGAUCAGCCACACUGGAACUGA